AAGUAAUCCUUUAAUUAAGAGGGGAAUUCUUUUGUACCUGCACUGUAUCCUUUUGAUGCUGCUACUGUCUGAAUCCCUUCCCCUUACACUUAAUCCUGUCCUUAUUGGGACCUUGGGUAGAAAGCUGAUAAUUUUGGUGUUGUCCUAAAAAGGAAGGCAGUGCCUUGAAUUCCUGCCACUAUCCCCUGAUAAUGAACAGGCCUAAUGAAUGC
rnacentral:lncRNA from 1 species